CCGCGCGAAGGUAGCGUAAUCACUUGUUUUUUAAAUAAAGACCUGUAUGAACGGCCCCACGAGGACCUAACUGUCUCCUUUGUCCAAUCAGUGAAACUGAUCCCCCCGUGCAGAAGCGGGGAUUCUACCAUAAGACGAGAAGACCCUAUGGAGCUUUAAACUUUUAUUAAUUAUUUCCUUCACUCCCUCCAAGGAUUUAACAACUAACUUAAUCUUCUUAAUAAAAGUUUUGGGUUGGGGCGACCAUGGAGAAAAGAAAAUCCUCCCUGAUGAUACCUAACUAAGAACCACAGCUCUAAGUAUUAAGACACUUAACUAUUAUUGACCCAUUUUAUGAUCAACGAACCAAGUUACCCUAGGGAUAACAGCGCAAUCCAUUUCAAGAGUCCCUAUCGACAAAUGGGUU
rnacentral:rRNA from 1 species